rnacentral:lncRNA from 1 species
CUGGUUUAUAUCUAAGUAAGAUGUUAUCUUGUGUGUAGUGUGAGCGCUGAUAACCUUCGGCACAGCUACCCUGGAGAACACUCAGACCUGAGUAAUUUGUAGGCUGCACCAGCUGAGUCACAGCCACAGCCUCACAGAGGAAGAGGACCCUGCUGACAAAAGUCACUAUUUUUGGGCCAAAAGGAUGGUGUUGCUGCACAGGACUCAUGAGAGGAUCUCGAUCUCCCCCUGAGCAUGCAGCACAGAGCAGGGAACGCUGCCUCUGGCAUCAGCAGGAGCUGAUAAAGUCAAGGAAAAAUUAUUCUAACAGGACAGAUAUCAAGACAGGAUAAAAACAUGGACAUUCUCUCCUUUCAGCAGCAGUGAUGUUGUUCAAGAUGCACUUUUAACCUUGGAACAUAAUCAGCUUUAGCUGCUACUUGACCAUGCUGUAAGUCAGUGUUAAUAAAAAUAUACUAUAAAUAAUUAACA